rnacentral:rRNA from 1 species
GUCAAACUGGUCCAGAUAACACCUACCCCAGGACCGUCCUCCCUUUCCCUUCUGAACGAAGCAAACUGCAAACCUAACCGGCCGGCACGAGCGUCGCCAGCAGGAGAGGAACUGGCUCCGCUCUCUCACGCAGUUACACGCACGUGGUCGUCUCGAGGGAGGAGUGGGUGGGAGGAGAAGGCGGCGGCGGCAGUUUCGAUCUGUGCUCUGCCUUACGCGGGAGGCAGCGGAUCGAUCUGGACGAACUGGCUGCCGGAAGGAUGGGAGGAAGAAACCAUCGUUGGCCGGCUGGGGGUCAGCAGGUCCGGAUCCGCGCAUUGUCUCCUUAUGCGCCAGACAGGGCAAACCAUUGCUAUUAGGAAGGUUCUUCAGGAUAAGCAGUACAAGAACCGCGAGCUUCGGACCAAACACCUACAUGACCACCCAAAUGUCGUAGCUCUGAAGCAUUGUUUCUUUUCUACAACUGAGAAGGAUGAAAUUUUGCUGAACUUGGUUCUCGAGUAUGUAUAUCGCAUUACCGCACUACCUCCUUAG